rnacentral:rRNA from 1 species
ACGCGUAUGCAAUCUACCUUUCACAGAGGGAUAGCCCAGAGAAAUUUGGAUUAAUACCUCAUAGUAUAGCAGUUUCGCAUGAAACCACUAUUAAAGUCACAACGGUGAAAGAUGAGCAUGCGUCCCAUUAGCUAGUUGGUAAGGUAACGGCUUACCAAGGCAACGAUGGGUAGGGGUCCUGAGAGGGAGAUCCCCCACACUGGUACUGAGACACGGACCAGACUCCUACGGGAGGCAGCAGUGAGGAAUAUUGGACAAUGGGCGCUAGCCUGAUCCAGCCAUGCCGCGUGUAGGAUGACGGUCCUAUGGAUUGUAAACUGCUUUUGUACAGGAAGAAACAUCUCUACGUGUAGAGACUUGACGGUACUGUAAGAAUAAGGAUCGGCUAACUCCGUUCCAGCAGCCGCGGUAAUACGGAGGAUCCAAGUAUUAUCCGGAAUCUUUGGGUUUAUAGGGUCCGUAGGCCGUUUAGUAAGUCAGUG